rnacentral:rRNA from 1 species
CUACGGGACGCAGCAGUGGGGAAUAUUGGACAAUGGGGGAAACCCUGAUCCAGCAAUGCCGCGUGUGUGAAGAAGGCCUGCGGGUUGUAAAGCACUUUCGGUUGGGAGGACUGCUUCUAGCACUAAUAUUGUUGGAAGUUGACGUUACCUUCAGAAGAAGCACCGGUAACUCCGUGCCAGCAGCCGCGGUAAUACGGAGGGUGCAAGCGUUAAUCGGAAUUACUGGGCGUAAAGCGCGCGUAGGCGGCUAGAUCAGUCGGGUGUGAAAGCCCCGGGCUUAACCUGGGAACUGCAUCCGAUACUGUCUAGAUUGAGUACAGGAGAGGAGAGUGGAAUUCCACAUGUAGCGGUGAAAUGCGUAGAUAUGUGGAGGAACACCAAUGGCGAAGGCAGCUCUCUGGCCUGAUACUGACGCUGAGGUGCGAACGCGUGGGGAGCAAACAGGAUUAGAUACCCCCGUAGUC